CACCUCCUAAAACAGACCCCGAGGCAUCUUUUAGUGUUUUCUUGAAUAAAUACAUAAGCUCUGCAACACAACCAGAGAAAUAUUAACAGGAGUAGUAAGACAUGUUUUGCUGAGAGCUGACUAUUUCUAGUACAUCAACCAACAAGUUAAGUAACAGGGUAGUAUUUUCCUGGGAAAGGCCAACUGCACUGGUAUUGACCACAGAAGCCAGGGAGCAUGGAGUGAGACAUUAAGUAUCAGUUCUGAUCUCUUAGGGAGUGUCCUGUCUACCCGCCGUUGAACAGGCAGUUUCCCAGGUUCCUGAUGAGGAAGAAGGGACACGGAAUCACACAAUCAGAGCCUCAAGCAGGCCUUAUUCCAGGGCACAGAACUGCCACUGACAAGCCACCCGCUUUCCAUUCCUGAAGGCGGGGAUGGGGUCAGUGAUGUAGCUAGGUGGCCGGGCUUGGCUCUGGGUCACCACCAGUUUAAAGACUCUUGUAGUGUCACUGAGGCAGGCCCCUUAGGAAUUCAAGUCAGAGGUUAGGUGGGCAGGCGAUACCUGGCACUGUCCUGGCUCCAACAGGGCCUCUGGAGCAAGUUACAGGAAGCUGUGCAGUCUAAAAGUUGCUCAUCUGUCUACACUAGCUUUCUCAGAGGACGGCAACUAUGGCUCUACUCCCAUCGUUGUGUCUUCCUCUGAAGAUAGGACAGAAAAGCUUUUAUCAUAUGACGCUAAGAACAUUCUCAGGGCUUACAGGGGGCUGCCAGGGACCAGGCCUCUUGGCUAAGAGGAAGAAACCAUUUCACCUAACUUAGUAGUAGAGGGAGAAGAUUUAUCGUAGCCCCACCUGUGAGGGAAGUCCCAACAAAGGGAAGGCAAUCUAUGAACCCUUCCGGCUACCGUGAAGAGAGGCUGCACAGGUCGGGGCAGAGGGCGGCUGAAGCUGCUUCCACAGAAGGCCGCCAACGAACGAGAGCCGUGCCGCUCAAAUAGGGCAGCUGUGUGGCCAUCCUUCGGCCGUGUGCUCCGCAACAGGGGAUAGACUUACUGUUCGUAAGCCUUUAAGUAGUUUGAGGAUCUAAACUCUUUUUUUCCCUCUCAGAGCUUUAAAACAGUCAGGGCAAUAAAAGCCUAAGAAUAACUGGACGUUCCCAUUUUUUUCCCACACAAUGAGCCUAUCUUUCCUACCUUAACUUCCUUUAGUUUAAAGAGCUGUUUGAAGAAUUUACAUUAAAUGUAAUUUGGUUGUAGCCCUUACUGAAAAAAUUUUUUUAGCAUUUCUUGAGGAAGGAAAUAGCAUAGUGUAAACAGAGAAAGGAAAAAAACUGUUCCAUUUAUUUCUGAUUGAAAAAUUUUGCCAGAAAGGUCGGGGGCCUUAUUUAUGUCUGCACGGCAAGUCUACAUAAUGUCUUUGGGUGCUUAGACCACAACUUUUCAUGGCCUCAGAUCCCAGCAGUGACGGCGGCCCGGCCCCCAACAGUGCGCCCCAAGACCCACUGUUAUUUCCUGAUGCGGAGGCAGUGUUAAAGGUAAACAUCCCCAAAUCUAACAUGAUGCCCAAUUACACUUUAUCCCUCACCAGAAUGAACUAAGAUGAUGCCUUUGUACUUGACCCCAGUUGAGAAAGUCUUCAAAACGGUAUCUCCAAACUGGUAUCAAGGACACACAUGCUCAGCACAAUGAGUCAGCCCUUCAUAAACUCAACGGCAUGAAAAAGCAGGCACAAAGCUAACCUGUGGGGAUGUAAAAAUGAAGCCAAGAAUUCUUGCCUUCGGGCUCCUUCUAGACCAGACUGCGUGCUGGGAUGAGUGGCACGGUGUGACCAGUGGCAGGAUGGUGAGGAACUUACACAAGAGGGAUGCCUAAGGAGGCAGGUGCAUCUUUUGAAAAGAUGUGGGAAUUUGGCGGCAGGAAAGGAGGACAGGGUGGGAGAGGCCCCGCGGGCGGAUAGACAGGGUGCAAAGGCACAGCAGCAGGAACGCACACCUCCCGCUCGAGGGACCAACAGGGACCUGGAGUGGGGAGGUCAGGGAGGGGAGCAUGGAGACGGGAGCCUCAGGGGCAGGAGUCCCGUGUGCCUGGGAGAAGAAUAAGGAUUUUAUUCAGAAGGUGACAGGAAGCCACCAAACUACAGACUAAAGGUAGCAUUAGUGAGGUAUAAUUUAUAUGCAGUGAAAUUUAUCCAUGUUCAGUGAACAGUCUGACGCAUCGGACAACAGUACAGAGUGAGUCACCAACACCACAGUCUGCAUACAAUCACCCGUAAUCCAUCACCCUGAAAUUCCCUGCUGCCCUCUGCAGCCAAUCUGCCUCUAGUCUCUUUUAAGCAGGAGAAUAAGAUGAUCAAAUUUGUCCUUAAGAAAGAUGCUGUGAAAGCAAGGCGGUACACAGCCUGGACCAGAAAAAACUAGAGACACAAAGCAUGCUGAGUGAGGAAACCACUGGGAAUGGCACCAGCUGAAAGACUGCGGGAGAAGAGACGAAGAGGAGGGAGAAGAGAGGAGUAACUCAGUUUUGACAGAGGAAGCUUGAGAUGCCUGUGGCACAUCCAAGCAGACCAACGGGAUGGGUUCAGGCCAUGAGAGGAGGUGGAGCUAGAAACACAGAGGCAGAAUCGUCAUCACUGGGGUGAGUGUUAAGGCCAUGGGUGAGAAUAAGACCCUGAUCUGAGGUCGACCACCAGUACUCAGCGGGUGGACGGAGGAACACAGGGGUGUAACCAGGCCCAUUUGUGGAACGACACACUCACUUGCG